UUCGCCCGGCAGAGGCCCGGACCGGUAUUCCGGUGGCUGCUGGGGGACUCGAGGAGGUCAUUUGGCUUCUCACGAGCCCCGUAUCUAACGGAAAAGGAGUAAGUUGGAAUAGAUUGGACCGAUUCAUGCCGUACCAAGAAAGUUCUGGGGAUCCCUCCACGCAAUAAGAUGUGAGUUAGAAGCAGUUACCUGCUGUCAAGAGGAACCAGAAGCAGAUGAUCUUUCUGCUGACUGAUGGUCAGAGGCUUACGUCAUUCCCUCGCUUCAUCUCGUCACAUAGGCAGUCUCUCAUCACAAGAAGAAGGAUGUGGGCAAGAGGAAAGGUAAUCGUUACCAAUAUAGCGGCUGUGACUCCUUGAGCAUCUGUAUAACCAGCGUGGUGCUAAGUACUGGGAACAUGGUGAUGAACAGAGAUGGACGUACUGAGCAGCUAAUGAAGAUGAAGCUUCAGGCUCCUCACUUGCCCAGCCCAUGUGAGUGCUGGGAAUUGUGGGAUGUUCAAAGUAGCCAGAGGAAGCCUGGUUACCACCAAGAAGCAUUUCUAUGUACCAGGAGAGCAAAUUCAAGCCUGAGUUUUUCUCAGGACUGGGUGGAGGUGGAAAGAAUUGCCCACGCCUCGGGAGGGAGUGGUCUCAGGCUGCCGAGCCCUCCCCUGCACGCAUCUCCAGCCUUCGAGGGAUCUCCACGGUGGCCCGGUGCUAUAGGACGGACCCCACCCAUCCAGAAAUACAGGGCUCGGCAGGCCACGGAGCACUUCGGCAGAUGCUCUUUCCUUGGCAGGAAGUAGGGGGGGCACGCCUGAUUAAAAUGCAGAAGC